rnacentral:rRNA from 1 species
UACGAAGGGUGCAAACGUUGCUCGGAAUCAUUGGGCGUAAAGCGCACGUAGGCGGCCCCAUAAGUCGGAUGUGAAAUCCCUCGGCUCAACCGAGGACGUGCAUCCGAAACUGCGGGGCUCGAGUAUGGAAGAGGGUCGCAGAAUUCCCGGUGUAGAGGUGAAAUUCGUAGAUAUCGGGAGGAAUACCAGUGGCGAAGGCGGCGACCUGGGCCAAUACUGACGCUGAGGUGCGAAAGCGUGGGGAGCAAACAGG